GCCAGGUGUGCUGGUGCACACCUGUAAUCCCAGCUACUUGGGAGGCUGAGGCAGAAGAAUCGCUUGAGCCCAGGAGGCGGAGGUUGCAGUGAGCCAAGAUUGUGCCACUACACUCCAGCCUGGGCGACACAGCAAGACUCCGUCUCAA
rnacentral:SRP_RNA from 1 species